UACGGAGGGGGCUAGCGUUGUUCGGAAUUACUGGGCGUAAAGCGCACGUAGGCGGCUUUGCAAGUCAGAGGUGAAAGCCCGGGGGCUCAACCCCGGAAUUGCCUUUGAGACUGCAUCGCUAGAAUUGUGGAGAGGUAAGUGGAAUUCCGAGUGUAGAGGUGAAAUUCGUAGAUAUUCGGAAGAACACCAGUGGCGAAGGCGACUUACUGGACACAUAUUGACGCUGAGGUGCGAAAGCGUGGGGAGCAAACAGGG
rnacentral:rRNA from 1 species